GCCUUUAGGAAGAGGAUAACAACUAGAAGUAGUUGCUAAGACUCUAUAUGCCGUUUGGUGAAAAAAGCAAUUUGCCUAAAGAGAAGCUCGCGUCUGAUUAGCUAGUUGGUGGGGUAAAGGCCUACCAAGGCGACGAUCAGUAGCUGGUCUGAGAGGAUGAUCAGCCACACUGGAACUGAGACACGGUCCAGACUCCUACGGGAGGCAGCAGUGAGGAAUUUUCUGCAAUGGGCGAAAGCCUGACAGAGCAAUACCGCGUGGAGGAUGAAGGCCUACGGGUUGUAAACUUCUUUUCUCAAGGAGGAAGAUCUGACGUUACUUGAGGAAUAAGCAUCGGCUAACCCUGUGCCAGCAGCCGCGGUAAUACAGGGGAUGCAAGUGUUAUCCGGAAUCAUUGGGCGUAAAGCGUCUGCAGGUUGAUAUUUAAGUCUUUUGUUAAAUCUCCGGGCUUAACCUAGAAUCUGCAAAAGAAACUAUAUAUCUUGAGUAUGGUAGAGGUAAAGGGAAUUUCCAGUGGAGCGGUGAAAUGCGUAGAUAUUGGAAAGAACACCAACAGCGAAGGCACUUUACUGGGCCAGUACUGACACUCAGAGACGAAAGCUAGGGGAGCAAACGGGAUUAGAUACCCCGGUAGUCCUAGCUGUAAACGAUG
rnacentral:rRNA from 1 species